UGGCACUGAACAUUGACCCUACAUGUGUAGGAUAGGUGGGAGGCUUUGAAGCGCAGUCGCUAGAUUGCGUGGAGCCGUCCUUGAAAUACCACCCUUGUAGUGUUGAUGUUCUAACGUCGACCCCUAAUCGGGGUUGCGGACAGUGCCUGGUGGGUAGUUUGACUGGGGCGGUCUCCUCCCAAAGCGUAACGGAGGAGCACGAAGGUGGGCUAAUCACGGUUGGACAUCGUGAGGUUAGUGCAAUGGCAUAA
rnacentral:rRNA from 1 species